UACGAAGGGGGCGAGCGUUGUUCGGAUUUACUGGGCGUAAAGGGCGCGCAGGCGGCCAUCUUUGUCAGGCGUGAAAGCCCCGGGCUUAACCUGGGAACGGCCAUGGAAACUGGCGAACUGGAGUGUGGCAGAGGGGGGUGGAAUUCCGCGUGUAGCAGUGAAAUGCGUAGAGAUGCGGAGGAACACCGAUGGCGAAGGCAGCCCCCUGGGCUAGCACUGACGCUCAGGCACGAAAGCGUGGGGAGCAAACAGG
rnacentral:rRNA from 1 species